CACGUAGGGGCCAAGCGUUGUCCGGAUUCAUUGGGCGUAAAGAGCUCGUAGGCGGUUCAGUUAGUCGGGUGUGAAAUCUCCGGGCUCAACCCGGAGGGGCCACCCGAUACUGCUGUGACUCGAGUCCGGUAGGGGAGUGGGGAAUUCCUGGUGUAGCGGUGAAAUGCGCAGAUAUCAGGAGGAACACCGGUGGCGAAGGCGCCACUCUGGGCCGGUACUGACGCUGAGGAGCGAAAGCGUGGGUAGCAAACAGG
rnacentral:rRNA from 2 species